ensembl:lncRNA
UCCUCCUCUAGCAGUGCAAUGUGAUCCACCGGCGGGAGGGAUACCAUUAAGGCAUCCAAUAAAAUCAGACCAGUGUCUAAUGAGUACUUUGACUGCCCCAGAAGUGAUUUCCCCCCACGGACCAGUAAUAAAGUAUCCCUACAAGUCCUGCCUCUGCUCCUAGCACAGAAGCUUCUAAAAUAUCAAAAGAAGGUGUGGCCCAGAUUAAAGGUAUAUCUUUUCACCUCAAGAGAUCUGGAUCCAAGAAAAUAUAAAGCUGUGGAUUCCUUCCAGACUAAUAUGGUUUGAUGAAGCAACAACUCCUGAAACAGUGACCCAGGUGAUUCAACUUCCAAGACAUGUGCGAUGAUGCAGCCUCAGACUACAACAGCCAGGACUUGGCAUGUUUCAUGUCUUCUCAUCAUCCCCAGUGGCAUUCACAAUGCUCCCAACCAGCAGACACACAGACAGCAAGAUGGAUGUUUGGAGCAGAGGUACUCUAUGUGGAUCAGAAGCCCACUGUCUUUGCCCCAUUUGAUAAUGCUUCCAGGUUGUUUCCUAAGUCCCCAGAUCUUGGUUACACAUAAGGACUUUUAUCUUUCUGUGAAGAACUAUGUCAAGACCAAAAGUUAUACCACAGAUAAUGAAAGAUGUAAUCUUUAUCCCUUAUUAACACUUGAUUAGCAAUUGAGGUUAGACAUUAUCUGUAUUUCGGAUGAAUAUAAAAGUUAAAACAUGCAUUGCGUUAAAAUAUUUGUGUUGUGUGCUAUGUUGUAUAUAUGUCAGUCCUUUCCUUCUAAGUUUCAUGCCAGGCAUUGAAAUCAGGUCAUCAGGCUUUCAAAUCAAAAUGCCUUUACCCACUGAUUACAGGGCCACUUUGGAACCAUAAAUAGUUUAACAUCACCUUGCAAACACCGUUGACCAUUUAAAGUCUUGGCAUCAUUGUAAACAGCAUAGACAUGUAAAAAUACAACCUACACUCAGUGGAAUUAUCUACUUAAAGAUUUUAGCCAUGUAGUACAAGGGUUGUCAUAUUUGCCUCACUACCUGUUUCAAUACAGGUUUCCAGACAUGAAACUGUUCCUUUGUUUACAUGUUAUCCCUAACUAGUUUCAAGUGAUGAUGACAAAGCUGAUAAGUAGGAUGGAAAUCAAUACGUAGAGAACAGAAAGAUUCAUUCUUUCAUCUGGUACAGAGAAUGUUUGCUAUUCUUUAGCACCACAUUUCAAGAUGGUCAGAUUUUUUUUUAAAUGUAUCGUACAAAGUAUUCUGUUUGUCAGCAUUAAUAUUCUAUGUUGUACUAUAUGAUCACCUAUUUCAGGGGAUGGUUUCCCCAUACAUGGAGAUCAUUCUCCUAUUAAGCUUCUCAAAUAAGUAAUAAAUGACUCCAAAUGAUCUGAAAACUCAUUCUAUGACAGUGAAUUUGCCUAUGAUUUUAUAGGAAUCAUAUAUGUUAACUAUAGCAGUGUGAGGCCACUGGUCAUACCUCACUAUUUGUGGCAUCACUUAGGCUUAUGGUCUCUAUGUAACUUUCUACAGGUCACAUAGACUUGCAGCUUAAUUAUGUUUGAUGUCAAAGUUCUAGCUUUUUACCUGAGUACUAUAUAUUAUAUAUUUAUGUGUUUUGAAAAGCUAAGCAGAUUGAAUUUCC